UACGAAGGGGGCUAGCGUUGCUCGGAAUCACUGGGCGUAAAGCGCACGUAGGCGGAUCUUUUAAGUCAGGGGUGAAAUCCCAAGGCUCAACCUUGGAACUGCCUUUGAUACUGGGGAUCUCGAGUCCGGAAGAGGUUGGUGGAACUGCGAGUGUAGAGGUGAAAUUCGUAGAUAUUCGCAGGAACACCAGUGGCGAAGGCGGCUUACUGGUCCAUAACUGACGCUGAGGUGCGAAAAGCGUGGGGAGCAAACAGGG
rnacentral:rRNA from 1 species